rnacentral:piRNA from 1 species
UCCCAUCUGAAAUUUCAAGAA